CAGUGGCUCAAAUAUAAUUGCUAUAGAUUUGGAAGGGAUUCUAUAUAAUUAACACUUUCAUGUCUUUUUUUUUAGGCUCUGAAUGUGGAGGUGCAAACAGUGUCCUGAAAGUGAAUCUACAAGGUACCAAUUACUAAAACACUAUAAAUUAAUCCAUGGCCAUUAGGGUCAGGGACACUCCAGAUAUCCAUGCACAUAUUAUGAAUGCCUAUGCUCAUUCAAAACAUGGAAUGCACUUAAAACUUAUUUGAGUUGAUGUCAUGUUGAUGUUUUACAUUUAAGGACUACAGAACAAGUAAUAUUGAAAAAUAAGAAAAACCAACAGGUAAUCAAAAGUAAAAUGGAAGGAACCUUUGCCUAUAGAAGACAGGAAGUUGUUGGAAGAUAUGCCCUUCAUAGCAGAGUUCAAAAACAGAUGGCCAGGCCUGUUUUCUGAGAGCCAGGUUAUUGCAGAAUUCACCCUCAUCACCACUAAACCCUUAUGUCCCGACUGGAUCAUUACUAUAGCCAGCUAUUGAGGGUAUUCAAAAAGAAGUGGGGGACAGCAAGACGUGAUAUCGACGUAAUCAUUGCAGAAAUGGACAUGAAUCCCAGUGUUGAAGUACGACGGACAUGCAUCCUAAAGGCGUUGUGCGUCUACUUAAAUGGAAAGUCUGACAGCCUUAUUAAGGACUACUGGGCUACUGAGGAUAUUGGUAUUGAUGCAAUGAUGGAAAUGGAGAGACUGGCUUUGGGUGUCUACAUUGUUCGACAUGAUGGAGCAGAUGCUUCAGAUCCACCUGAGGAUGUUGGCGUCGUCAUUGAAGGCUGUACAGUGCUGCGAGAUCUGAGAGAGGUUGCAAAUGGAUGUGCAGUCCUGUUUGGCUUGAUCUACUGUUUAAACUGAGCUAUCCCAAGGAGCUCCGAUACACAUUCGAAUUUCUUCAGAAAGUGUUCAUGGAAUUGGAUGGGAAAAAGCUCUCCACUAAAGUGCAAGGUCCUCAAAAACAAACUGCAUGAGUAAAAUCACCUGCACCAGACAAGACUGGACCCGGCUUUGGACACUUUAGUUGUGUUGACUGUCACUUUAUUUUUGGACUGCUGCUUGACAAAAUAAAGCUAUAAUCAAUGAUGGUUUGUAAUAAGCAGACAGGACUGCAGUUGGUCAGUUGCAAUUUAACCUCCCUCCAUAUAGAAAACAAGGAUUUGCCUCUUUAGUUUUAAUUUCAGUAGGCAACACCUGUUAGACAUUGUUGACGUCAAAGUUCCAAUUUACUAUAAAGCUAUAUUGGGAUUGAACAUUAUCAGAUGGUGAAGAUUCACAAACAAGUUUUAUAUUUUUGAAUUAUUAUUUAUAUUGGUCUAUUUGCAUUUUAUACGUGGAUUUAUGUUGGUGUCUUCAAUUGUAUUUUUACACUUUGUAUUUGUAUGUAAGUUUUGCUUACGUAUUUGUAAUAAUUUUAUCAGUCAUGAUUAGGGAUGCACCGAAUGUUCGGCAACCGAAAUUAUUCGGCCGAAAAUAGCCAAAAAAGCACUUUCGGUGUUCGGCCGAAUAAGUAAAAAGGCCGAAUAAAUUUUGCCGAACAAUGACGUUUUUAAUGACGCAAUCAAAUAACCCGCGUAGAGUGAUAGGCGCGCGCUUUAUGCAGCAAACAUGUCAGCAGUGUGGAAACACUUUAAAAAGUGUCAGAUAAAGAUGCAAAAACGGCCGUUUGCAAACAUUGUUCUGGAUUUGGGAAAGCCGCUAGGUGAUGGAGACUGUCAGGUGAUGCACAGCGCAGGAGAUGAAAACAGCUCAGAGAGUAAACUGGCUCGUACUACAGAUGAGCCGCGCACAGUCUCGCUGUCUGACAUGUUCGAUGAGAUCCUCCAAGAGAAUAACCCAUUUGCAAGACAGAGGACAAGCUCGACUGCUCAACAGUUAUAUGGGCAGUGUUGUGCCUGAACGCGUUCAUUGAACCAUAGUUCAUGAACUCGUUCAUAUUUUGGGCGAACGUGAACUGAACGUGCUGUAUUACUGCCUGAUGAACGUUACUGUCAACUCGUUCAUUCUGGUGUCUGUGAACGGCACGCUCUCUGAGGUUAACUUCGUUCAAUAGGGUGCCAGAUUUCUAUAGAGCCUUCCUGGCGAAAGCCCGGCUAAAACACACCGUAAACAGGUCUUAAUAUGUAGCGAAAAAACACCCAAUCUGGCAACACCAGCCACCAGUGGCGCACAGUCGUCCGCCGCAUGCGCGACGCGUCAUCAAAAAAAAAAGGCGACAGCAGCAUGUAGCAAGAAGGUGUAUGAUCAUUUAAAAUAAUUUUUUAUGAUGUUUAUGACAAUGUCGGUGAGAAUGGGAGACAAAGCAUUAAAGCAACAAUGGGGAAAUGCUGUCCCCUCAAUCCUAAUUUUAAACCCUGGUUGGAUAAGGAUUCAAAAUUGGAUAUUAUAUGAAGAUGAAAUCUGACGCAUAGCUUCAUUGUUAAAACUGAUAAAAUAAUUGCUGUCUGUGAUUCUAUAUGGGCUGUGGCAAUAAUCAAGGCCGCUUUCCUGACCUGGCGCAGAUGGCACGCAGGUAGGCUCUUUGUAUGGGAAAUUAAUUUAAGAUUUUAUUUAUAUUUUGGAUUAUGGUAACACUUUAUAAGUAGUUUCUAUUUUUAACUUUAACUAACAAUGAAAAACCCUUAUUAAAAGCAUUUAUUAAUCUUAAUGUUAACAUUUACUAAUACAGUAUUAAAAUUAAGUAUCACAUUUGUAAUUUCUGAAUUAAAAAGUAUCAAAAGUGGUAGGCCUAUUUGUUAAAAUUGUUAAUGCACUUAUACUAACAUGAACUAAAUAUUUUUUAUUAUCUUACAUUAACGAAGAUUAAUAAAUACCAUAACAAAUGUAUUGCUCAUUGUUAGUUAAUGCAAUAACGUUAACAAACAUUAUAAAGUGUUACUACCUAUAUUUUAUAUGUAUUUUGUGAAAAUUCUGAACUAUUUUCAGUGUAGUAAAAUAGUAGGCCUACACUGGGUUUCAACCAUUUCAUUAUCUUGAAGACAUUGUUCGUUUUGAAAUGAGCAACUGUCAGAAAACUGCAAUAAAAUGUUCAACUAUUCUGCAGGUACUCGUCUGCUCCAUGCACAAGCACCAACAGUGAGAGACUGUUUAGUGCUGCAUCUCAUGUCCAUACCUGCAAACUCAGAAGGCCUGAAAAAGGUGACAGAUUGGCAAAAUAAAUUGAAAAAAUGCGAAACACCGCGUUCGGUAUUCGGCCUUCGGCCUUCGGCCAAGCAUUUCAUUAUUAUUCGGCUUCGGCUUCGGCCAAGAAUUUCAUUUCGGUGCAUCCCUAGUCAUGAUAAUACCAGAUAUAUUAAUGUACCGUGAAGGUCAACAUUACUUUUUGACUUAAUUAUAUUUCAAAACCAAAGGUGAAUAAAGUUAAUUAAAGUGACUUGAGUAGAUUUCUUUUUAAACCGAGCAAGUAUAAUCAACACAAAUGGAUAACAUUAGCUUAUUUCUGUUUAAUAGAUAUAACUUAAUCAGGUAAUGUUAGUUCAAGCUAUAGUCAUUAAAUUCAAGACAAUAAUUUACAUUUAUUCAAAAUAAUUGUGUAAUGUACCAUUUAAUUAACACCGUUAUGAACGAUUUAGUUAAAACAUUAUGUUACAAUUAAUUGUAUAUUACCUUUUCCAUUUAAGCAACUAAGUUUUGUGGGACCGGUUGACAUAACUUUAUUAAUUAAAUACAACAUUUCAUUUCUU